rnacentral:rRNA from 1 species
AUUGAACGCUGGCGGCAGGCCUAACACAUGCAAGUCGAGCGGAGCGGCGGACGGGUGAGUAACACGUGGGUGACCUGCCCUGCACUUCGGGAUAAGCCUGGGAAACUGGGUCUAAUACCGGAUAGUGUGGGAUGGGCCCGCGGCCUAUCAGCUUGUUGGUGGGGUAAUGGCCUACCAAGGCGGCGACGGGUAGCCGGCCUGAGAGGGUGGACGGCCACAUUGGGACUGAGACACGGCCCAGACUCCUACGGGAGGCAGCAGUGGGGAAUAUUGCACAAUGGGCGGAAGCCUGAUGCAGCGACGCCGCGUGGGGGAUGACGGCCUUCGGGUUGUAAACUCCUUUCACCAUCGACGCGGUAGAUGGAGAAGAAGCACCGGCUAACUACGUGCCAGCAGCCGCGGUAAUAC